CUUUCCAAAUAUGGCUUUUUUGGUUGUAUUUUUGGAUUUUUUUGCCUUGUUUUUUUUUUACUGGUUCAUGUCAUCAUUCAUCUUUCCUGUUUUCGCUGUAGGACUUCUUAGAUGGUUCACAGAUGUGCACUGGAAAAUCUCUCACUGGAAAUUAAAAGAUCUGCAUACAUGUGAAGGCAUCACUCCAGAAUAAAGAACCAGGGCUGAGCAGGGCCCGAACUGCUCCCAAAGAGAAAUGAUGGGACCAAGGCCUCAGCUUCUUGCACUGUGUUAUCCCGAAGAUGUGGAGAGAAAGAGGUGCUCUUCUUGGGUAGAGGCCAGGAGCAGAGUAUCUCCUGCAACAGGACCAUGCCUAGCACUCACAUGCUGCUUUGCACAGCCUUCCUUUCACACCACUGUCCAACCAGCCUUGCCUUUCACCCUUCGACGCCUCCCACACUUACCAGUACUGGCAGGAAGGAAAAGUAACCAGAGCUAGUCUACCUGACAGGAGAUACCAGCAAUGCCACUCAGGAUGUUGGUCUGAAUCCCACACGAUCAGCUGUGUCCCAGCGCCCUGACGCUCUGAUAGCAACUAUAUGGCAUUUGUACGGCCUUUCUACAA